UGGGGAAUCUUCCGCAAUGGGCGAAAGCCUGACGGAGCAACGCCGCGUUAGUGAAGACGGCCUUCGGGUUGUAAAACUCUGUGAUUCGGGACGAAAGAUAAGCAGACGAAUAAUCUGCAUAAGUGACGGUACCGAAAAAGCAAGCCACGGCUAACUACGUGCCAGCAGCCGCGGUAAUACGUAGGUGGCAAGCGUUGUCCGGAAUUAUUGGGCGUAAAGCGCGCGCAGGCGGCUACUUAAGUCCAUCUUAAAAGUGCGGGGCUUAACCCCGUGAUGGGAUGGAAACUGAGAAGCUGGAGUGUCGGAGAGGAAAGUGGAAUUCCUAGUGUAGCGGUGAAAUGCGUAGAGAUUAGGAAGAACACCGGUGGCGAAGGCGACUUUCUGGACGACAACUGACGCUUAGGCGCGAAAGCGUGGGGAGCAAACAGG
rnacentral:rRNA from 1 species